GUUUUUAUGCUUAUAAUAUGAAAUUUGGCCUGCCCAAUGUAUAAUCAAUGGCCGCGGUAUUUUGACUGUGCUAAGGUAGCAUAAUAAAUAGGUUAUUAAUUGUAAUCUGGAAUGAAAGGUUUGACGAAAAAAUAACUUUCUUAUUUGUUUAUUUGAAGUUUAAUUAUUAGUAAAAAUGCUAAUAUUGAUUGAAAAGACGAGAAGACCCUAUUAAGUUUUACAUUUAUUGCUAUUAUUUUUUGUAGCUAAAAAGUUCAAUAAUGUUUGGUUGGGGCGACUAUAAUUAUUAAACAUUUUAUUUUUAAUUUUUGGUAAGAGAUUGGUGAACCAUUAAUAAUGGUUAUUAGAUUUAAUUACUAUAGGGAUAACAGCAUAAUCAUUUUGUAGAGUUCUUAUCGAUAAAGUGGAUUAUGACCUCGAUGUUGGAUCAGGAGUUUCUUAUGGGUGUAGAUGUUCAUUUAGAGGGUCUGUUCGACCUUUAAAAUCCUACG
rnacentral:rRNA from 1 species